AUGGACGGGGGUGGUGAACUGGGGAUCACCAAGAAAGAGGCGGAGGCCGAGUACCAUUGCCACGACUUCGAGUGGGAGGACCUCCGGGCGGAUGUGGAAGCCAACCCUUCCUUCUCCUACCACCUGUCCCCUUUCCCCACGACCACCGCCUCACCGCAGCCACCGUCAUCGGAGGCCUGGAGAAGCUUCCACCGCCGCCACGCCUCCGGCAGGUUCUUCAAGGAAAGAAGGUAUUUGCUGAAGGAAUUUCCUGAACUGCUUAACAGCAAAGGAUGUGCAAAGGUUUUAGAGGUUGGGUGUGGGAAUGGAAGCACUGUUGUCCCCAUUCUACGAUGUAGUCCAAGCAUCACUGUCUAUGCUUGUGAUUGUAGUGAAGACACUCUAGAGAAAGCAAAUGAGAUUGUGUGUAAUACACAGGGGGUAGAUGCCAAGGAUAGGUUCCACCCUUUUUUGCUGGAUGUUUCUAGAGAAAAUUUUCCAGGUUGGUUGUUCUGCAAAUGUUGUCAAAGUUCAGAUGGAAAGGUUGUUGAUCUCUCACCAGAUUCAAUUCAUCUUUAUGUAAGGGGGAAAAACUCAAUCUCGCUGAAAGAAGAUCAGUGUUGUGUUGGCGGCAUAGAUUUUAUCACCAUGAUAUUUACGUUGUCAGCCAUACCCUUCAACACAAUUUCAGCUACUCUAGAGCGUUGUGUGUCUGUUCUAAAACCAGGCGGCCUUAUUUUGUUCAGGGAUUAUGGCGUUUAUGACAUGACAAUGCUUCGAUUCUUGCCUCACCAAAGAGUGGGAUUUCGGGAAUAUAUGCGUGCUGAUGGCACCUAUUCGUAUUUCUUCUCGUUGGACACUGUAAGAGAACUCUUUCAUGCUGCUGGGCUACUAGAGUUGGAGCUGGAAUACUGCUGUGUCAGAUCAGUGAAUCGAAAGAAUGGCAAGAACAUGCAAAGGGUAUGGGUGCAUGGAAAAUUUAAAAAACCCACAAGUCAAUGA
rnacentral:rRNA from 1 species